rnacentral:rRNA from 1 species
GCCGCGUGUGUGAAGAAGGCCUUCGGGUUGUAAAGCACUUUCAGUUGUGAGGAAAGGUUAGUAGUUAAUACCUGCUAGCUGUGACGUUAACAACAGAAGAAGCACCGGCUAACUCCGUGCCAGCAGCCGCGGUAAUACGGAGGGUGCAAGCGUUAAUCGGAAUUACUGGGCGUAAAGCGCACGCAGGCGGUCUGUUAAGCUAGAUGUGAAAGCCCCGCGCUCAACGUGGGAUGGUCAUUUAGAACUGGCAGACUAGAGUUUUGGAGAGGAGAGUGGAAUUCCAGGUGUAGCGGUGAAAUGCGUAGAUAUCUGGAGGAACAUCAGUGGCGAAGGCGACUCUCUGGUCAAUAACUGACGCUCAUGUGCGAAAGUGUGGGUAGCGAACGGGAUUAGAUACCCCGGUAGUCCACACCGUAAACGCUGUCUACUAACUGUUUGUGGAUUUA